ACAAAACAAGGAAGUGUUGCUGUUGUUCAGUUGAUGAACGUGUGGGCAUCCGUCUCCAUCCAGCUUAUUCUUUUAGUUUGAAGGAGAGUGUAGAUGCAACCCAUUCCUAACAUGGUGUACCAUGUGGCUGCAGGAAACAUUUCAAAACAUGUUGAAGAGUACCUGGGGAAUCUGUUGAUAUAAAAGCCUCAUUUCAAGGAAGGUCUUCCACUGCAGAGAGAGAAGUUGAAAGAGGAGUGGAGUGGCAGAUGGGUUACCACAAGUUUUUGCUCUCAUGAUCGUGCGUCCUAGUUCCUUUCCGCUUCAGAUUCAUGGUUUAUGGAUGGCAUUUCUAGGAGACGGGACUGUAAAGGACAUAUUUCUGGUGCAGAUCCCUAAUUUCAGCACACGUCUGACUGACGUUCCUCAGACAGCAGGAACGUCAGCCCGCCAUGGAGAACGCACGGAAUGACUUCUGUCUCUUCUUUUCCUGUGAAAACAGACUGGCAACACCAGAACCACAAAAACACAUUGACCGUUACCCCAGAAGUAAACUUGACUUCGGUAUGACCGUCCUGUUCGCAGAAAACAAACCAC